rnacentral:lncRNA from 1 species
GAGCACUUGUGCUAGAUACUGAGGAUAAAGUGAAGCCACUCAGUCCUGAAACACCUUCCUCAUCUCUCCCAGGGGACCAAGGGCCCCGCAUGCCAACAGCGAUUUGGGCGCUCUUCCUUGCUUUCUCAGAGUUGCCGAUUCUAUGCCCCUCGAGGUAGAGAGAGGAGGGGAGAGGAAAGAGGGAGAGAUUGACGGCACUCAGAGACAGUAAUUGCUUUGUUUGGGCUGGACCGGAGGAUAGGGCAGAGACAAGCAGCAGCUAUCCAGGUUACCGAAUACACCAGCUAUUAAACAGAGUCACGACUAGCAAGAAAGGCCUCCUGCCUGUCUGCCUGCCGGCCUCCCUUUCAGACCUGGACAUCUCAUUGCGGCACUCCACCCAGUUGACAGGCCCUGCAUGGGCGCUGGCUCUCUUCCUUGGAAUAACCUUGCCUCUCCAAAAAAAAAAAACAAACGCCCUUUGAGCUACCUUUCCCAUCGUGUGAUCCACAUGACGCCACCAUACAAUCCAUCGCAGAUGCUGCCACCCUUGCGUACAAGUAUGAAUCGGGUGUCAUGCAGUGCAGAACUCAAGACUCUGGUGAAGAGACCCCAUCUGCAGCUCACGAGGCAUGGUUGAUGUUGGCUCUGGUAGUAAAAACCACUUUGCUGGAUGGAUAGGAAAUUGCCACCACAGGAGAUGAUAAUAUUUGUGAGCCUUACUAACAAGCUUGAAUUCUAACAUAAGGCAGUUCAUUGUUAUUCUGCAGAAUGUGAAAUCUUAAUGCUUUCGCUAUUCAAACUCAUCUUAUUUCACAAUGUGAUUUACUGCAGCUCUAAGGAGCCAGCAGAAGGGAAAAAAAUAAGGGAGGUGGGAGGAAAAAGAUUGUUGGGAGUGGAAACACUGAUGAGCCCAGCUUUGUGAGCGAAUUU